rnacentral:lncRNA from 1 species
AAUAAUCCAAAGCCACUCACUUUUGGGAUCAUCCCAUGUAAUUUCCUGACAUUAGUCUCCAAAUCUUGUCUUCUGCAUUUUAUUAAAAGCUUUAAUUUUCUACUUUCUUCCCAAUAAUAGAAAAACUGUAAUGCCCUCGUAAAUUCAGGAUUACGAUAGGAAUUGAAAGAUUGUAUAGAGGAAUCAACCGUUACAAUAGCUACGAAUUCUCAAGUAUAUUAUAAUAAAUUUGAACUCAAUUUUCACUGAACUCAAAUAUCUCCAUGGAAGGAUUGAGAAUAGGGUUAGGGAAGUAUUAAGACAAAAAUGAAUUUGGGAAGAAAGAGAAUUUUUAGAGCUGAUACAUAUAUUGAUAAUUACAUAAUAUCAACUACUUAUAGUCCAAGUCGUUAUAUUCAGCUGAAAAUCUGAUGAAAUUAAUCUCUGUCAUUGAUUUUGUAACUGUUUCAAUCUCUAAUUACAACCGUUUAUCUUUAUUAAUAUGUGUUCCACCUGUGCAAUCUUAAUCUACAAGUUCCUUCUGCUGAUGUGUAUUUCACUAGCUCAAAUAGAUGUACACUAUUUGACUUCACUUUCCUAAAUCAACUCUAUCAUUAUUCCCCAAAUUGAUUUCGCGAUAUCUCAACCUUAAUUCGAUCUCAGUGCAAUCCUACCCCCAUUAAAUAGAACUUGGCCUCAAGGUCAAGUAUGAGCAGCAAAGUCGAGAAACUGGCCUCGUGUAAAGCCCUAAUCUUCCCAGGUAGCCUCUUCGAGACUAAGAUUAGUCCAGUGAACCAACACCUUCACUUGGGCCAUGUUAUUUAUUUUAACCAUCUAUCGUUGUAAAAUGGUGAGGGGUUUCACCAAGACUCAACCUUCAACGUCAUAAGUAGGCAGUCCUUGAUGAGGGGUAAUAGAAGAACCAAUACGCUUCUUAAGCUGGGAUAUGUGGAAUAGUGGAUGGAUCUGUGAAUUUGGUGGAAACUCUAACUGGUAAGCAACCUCACCUAUCUUCUUUAAGAUCUUGUAAAGCCCGUAGUACUUAGAACUUAAUUUUAAAUUUCAUCGCACUACCACUGUAGUUUGUCGAUAAGGUUGUAAUUUGAGAUAAACUAUAAUUUGAGAUAAACUAAGUCACCUUUUGUUAACACCCUCUUUAAUUCUAUAAAAAAUUUCAUCUGCGCUUGUGCUCGGCUAAGAUUGUCCCUUAGAUACUGUAACAUGUGUUGUCGUUGCUGGAGGUUCAGUCCUACUACUGUGUUAAUACCAUAAGGAAGGAACUCCAUAGGAAUUUGAGGGGGGUACCCAAAAGACCUUCAAAUGGUGUAGAUUUAAGUGUUGUAUGGUAGUUUGAGUUUUACCACCACUCAGUCAGUGAUAACCAUCUAAGCCAUUAUUUAGGAAAAGAGAAGACCAUAGCCCCAAAAUAAGACUCCAAACAUCUAAUCAAUCUCUCUGUUUAGCCAUAUGCUUGGGAAUGAUAAGUUGUAGACGUGUGGAGCUUAGUCCCAAAGGCCUUGAAUAGUUGUUGCCAAAACUGGCCUGUAAACACCGAGUCUCUAUCAACGACUAUAGUGGCAGGCAUCCCAUGUAGCUUGUAGAUCUCUUUCAAUAAAAGUAUGUCUAAUGGGUAUAAAAUAUCCAUAUUUAGUAAGUCUAUUGAUCACCACCACCACUAUAUUUUUUUGAUGUGAAGAGGGUAAUCCUUCAAUAAAUUCCAUAGCUAUGUCCUUCCAUGAAGAAGCCCUGGAUAGUGAACAUUUUUAGACUUUACCCUUUGACAGAUAUCGCAUUCAGCCACCCACGUAGCAAUGUCACUUUUCAUCUUGGGCAAAUAGAAUACCACAGCGACCCUCUUGUAAGUACCCUGUUGACUUGCAUGUACCCUAAUGGGGAUGAGUGCUAUGCUUUAAAUAUCUUAACUCUCAUAUCAAACCUUCUUCCUACAAAAAUUUUGGUGUCAUAUAUAAUUAUGCCUUGAUGUAAAGUAUAGUGAGACUGAGUAGUAGGAUCAACAAUAAGUUCAGUCAAUAGUUGAGAAGCAGUAGGGUCAUGUUCAUAACUUAGUGCUACCUCUUGCAUCCAUAUAGGAUCGGUAGUAGUGAUAGAACACAAUGUAGGUUCUUAUUCUAACCUUCUUGACAGGGCAUCAUCCCUCUAUUUUCAGCCCCUUUUUUAUACUGCACCUCAUAAUCCAGUCUUAACAGCUUAGUAAGACCCUUCUGUUGUAAUGCAGUGGUCACCCUUUUCUCUAGAAGGUAUUUGAUCCUGAAGUGAUCAGUCUUUAUGAUAAAAUGACCUCAUUGGAUGUAGUGUUUCCAUUUAUCGAUCACAGAAAGUAUAGCCACAUGCUCUUUCUCAUUAGUGGAUAACUAUAAGUGUUUGGAAGCCAAUGCUUUGCAGAAAAAUGCUAUGGGUUUACCUUCCUGCAUAAGAACAGCACCUAUUCCUCUUGCACAUGCAUCUAUCUCCACCACAAACAUCUUAGAGAAAUCAACUAGGGCUAGUAUAGGGGCAAUAGACAUUGCCUCCUUAAGUUGAUUAAAAUCCAGUUCUGCCUCAGCAGUCCACUUGAAUGAUUCUUUUCGCAACAAAUUAGUCAAUGGUUUGUUGAUUUUCUCAUAAGACCGCACAAACCUUCUGUCGUAGCCUAUUAAACCCUAAAACCCUCUCAGGGCCUUAAUAUUCUUAGGUGCAGUCCAGAUCUUCAUUACUUCUACCUUUCUUGGGUCAAUAGCAACACCUUUCACCAUUAAUAAAAUAUCCCAAAUACUCCACUCUCUUCUGUGCAAUUGCACAGUUAUUCCCUCCUUAAGACCUGGAGUACUUUCUUGAGAUGAUCUAUAUGUUCUCUAAUGGUAGUGUUGUACACUAAUAUGUCAUCAAAAAAAAUAGAACAAACCUCCUCAACUUAUCUCUAAAUACAUAAUUCAUAAGGCUUUGAAAUAUGGUUGGUGCAUUUGUCAACCUAAAUGGCAUCACUUUGAACUCAUAAUGUCCUAAAUGUAUUCUAAAAGUUGUUUUGAAAAUGUCACUAUCAUUCAUCCUGAUAUGAUGGUAGCUGUCUCUCAGAUCAAUUUUAGAGAACACAUAAGAACCAUGCAACUCAUCCAAUAAAUCAUCAACUAAGGGGAUUGAAAACUUAUCUUUAACGAUCAUUUUGUUAAGUUCUCUAUAAUCUAAGCACACUCUCCAGCUACUAUCCUUCGUUUUUACUAACAAAACAGGGGGAAAAGAGGGGAAUGGUUGGGUUGUAUAACUCCAUUGGUCAACAUGUCUUUAAUCUAUUUUUCUAUUUCAUUUUUUUGGAAAAAGUUGUACCUGUAGGGUCUGAUGCUCACUAGUAUGGACCCCAGUUUGAGAGAGAUUGGCAGGGUUGUGGGCUCAACAAAGACAUUUGCAUACUCCUCCAAGGUCUGUGCAAUACUUUCAGGUAUGAUGUAUUCCUUUUCAAUAUCAGUAGUAAUAGUCAACAAGUGAUCCCAUCUCAUUCUUCCCUUCUUAAACAAUUGCUUCACACUACUACCACUCAUACUCUUUAAUACUCCCUCAUGGUAUAUUUCUUUCAGUUCCACUCUCUUACCUUGAUGAGUGAUCUGAUCCCCAUAAGCCACAAAGUCCAGUAGUACAGGAUUAAGAUUUCUCAUCCAAUCACCACCAAGAAUCAUUUCACAAGCACCCAACUUCACAAGUCUGACAGUAUCAGUAAACUCUACACCUUGAAUUUUCCAGUUGAAUUUGGGACAUGUAUGUCUGCUUAUCAAUUUAUUACCAUUAGCCAUUGUAACCCUCAUGGGCAUAGCCUCCUUUAUUGUACAACCUAAGUGUCUGGAAGUUUUCAUGUCCAAAAAACGAUGAGUACUGCCAGAAUCCAACAAAAUUGUUAAGUCAUUUUUCUUAUAUUCACCUCUCAAUGUGAUAGUAUUAGGAAUCUCAGUACCAGAUAAGGCAUGAAGACUUGUAACUUCUUCCACUAUCUUAUUGUCUAAGACUUGUUCCUCUGGUUCUUCUUUCUUUAUAAUGAGGUCCAAUUAGUAUUCCUAUUGCUGCUCUAUAUCAUCUGCCAUGGCAUUAAUUUGCUUAGUCUUGCAGACAUAGCCCACAUAAUACUUAUCUCCAUAUCUGAAACACAAUCCUUAAGCCCUCCUUGUCUAUAUUAAUUUGUUACUGUUGUUGAUAGGGUUGUACACUCCAUUAGUGUUUGCAUUAUUACCAGGGUUUUGGCUAUGAUACUAAUUUGAGCUCUUUCCCCAAGCUAUAUUACUUCUUUGUGUUGUAACUUCUACCGCUUUUUCUUGAUGUCCAGCCUUAUCCACAGCUUGACUCAAACUAUAGGGGCCCAACAUCUUAACAGUAUGUCUGAUGUCCUCUUUGAGCCCUGCUAGAAAAAAUUCCUCCAGAGUAGAGGGAUUCGUUGAUCCCAAGUCUUCAAUUCCUCAAAUCUUUCCCAAGUACUCAUUAAUUGUAUUUGUUUGUGUAAUGUUCUUGAAUUGCCAAUGAGAUUAGAUUUGCUAUUGACAUCAUCUUCAAACCUUUUGAAGAUUUCUUCAUCGAAUUCUCUCCACUCAACAUUACCUCUACUUAAAUGAUAAGAGAAGUACCAAGCCUCAGCCUUACUAUUCAAAUACAAAACUACCAAUUCUAGCUUCUGUGCAGGGUCGAUAAUAUGGUUGUAGUGAAAAUAUCUUUCACACUUACUUAACUACGAACAAAGGCCAGCACCAAUAUUUCCUUCAAAAUAUGGAAAUUCUACCUUGGACCUAAGGGUGGGGUGAAGGUUUCUUUCUACGACCAGAGAAUGACCCAGUGAUUAGCCACACUACCUACCUCAUGAACCUGCUAUGGUGGAAUCAUUCCUUGGAGCACUACCCAGAAUGUCGGGUUUUUGUAAUGUCCUUAACACGAUGACUACGAAUUGUAAAUCACAGUAAUGAAAAGGAAUUUUAUUUAUAGAAGAGUCAAUGGUUACAAGUAUACAACUAAAAGAUAACUACUCAAGAACUCCAUAGCUAGCUCUACACUUCAACCAUUUAUGCGUGUAACAAACUUAGGGUUAGAUAGGAAAGGCGAAGAAGAAGAAGAAGAUAAGGAAGACUGUAGAAAGAAGAAUUUAGGAAAAGAGUACUGAUAAUUCAAUAACGGUUUUUUUUUAAUUUUGGUUAGGUUAUUUAUAGAUUUUGCUGACUUAGUUGAGUUAAUGAUAAGAUAGACUAUUGGAUGUAUUAAUCCCCACUGUCAAUUCCUUACGAUCUCUACCUUUAUUUAAACUAGUUCUCAAUUUCCCUUUUCAUGAUUAUUCAAUUGCCACAUGUGGACAUAACAACUUUGGGUCAUUACAAUCCUUCCCACUUGAAAUUGACCUUGUCCUCAAGGUCAAGGAUGAUGCACUCGACCGUGAUAACGAUCGGUUCUUACUAGUCUGCAAUAGGGAGAACUGAACACCCAAAAAAUAGCCAGUGCCAACUACAGUAGAAUAGGUGAAUGAACUGCUGACGUGAAACUACAGUAGAACAGGUGAAUGAACUGCUGACGUGAAGCUUUAUUAAGCUACAUCAUCAACCUAGCAAAUGACGAAGGAAUUGGUUCCGUCUCAUUUUCUAACCUUAAGCAGGCUCUGCUUGCACCACAAGGAACCUUGGCCACGCCAAUAACAACACUCCCACACUAAUGUUUGUUUUCACAAAUAAACCAAGAACAACUUUUGCACUUCAAAGUCUUACUAUAUUUCUUUGUUAUUUGUCUUAGAACUACACCAGGACAAUAGUAAGACACACUAAUAAUGUUAAGCAUAAGCAACCUAACAGUGAAGUUAACAAUUAUACCUUUAGGUAGACUUUCAGAAAAGUGUAAUUAUCCCAUGAAGUUAUAUCUUUUAUGAUACCAACAAAGAAAAUUGUAGAUACCAACUCAUGAAAUUUAGAAUCCACAGUGCAACUUCACUAGUCCAUCAGGCUGAAAAGUGAUUUUGUAGGCAUCAAUUAAAUCCAUCGAUGGCCUCUUACCUCUCUUCGUUGAAUUCUUGGCAUCAUUCACUGAGCAAGUACAAGUAUAUUCAAUAGAGUAAAGAGAGAGCAUUAAUAAAUCACUAUUAACCAUCAGUGUUAUUCCAUUAACAUCACCCUUCAUUUUGUAACAUGGAAGACCAUUAUAUAAAUGUAACACCCCGUAUUCAAGUACAUGUAUUGGCGUAUUCAAGUACGUGUGUUAGUCUUAUUUAUAUGAAAUUAAUUUUUUAUUUUAUUUAUACCGGAAUUUGCCCGUCGAUGGUUCCAUACGAAGGUUAUUGAAUAAGCUUUCCAACGAUAUAAAGAUUUUCAAAAACGGAUAAGUUUCGGAUAUAAUCGAUCACGUUUGAAACUAUAAAACGGUGGUCGGGAUAUGGUGAAUAGUAAAUGUGCAGGAAAAUUUCCUGCACACAAACUACUGAGGCCUGCUAGUUUUUUGGGUCAACUUUGAACGCUCAUAACUCCCUUAAUAUAAUGAACUGGGAGAGAUACAACCUAUCAAAAGAAAGAUCUUUGAGUCUUCUUUCCAAUGCAAUUGGUUUCAUCCAAAUCCAACGUAUGAGUAAGGUGUUAUACUCGUUUUACUUUAGUUCAGCCUCUACAAACAGAUUUUUAGGGUCAACUUCAAACGAUCAUAACUCCUUGUAAAGGACGAACUGGGUGGCCUAAUUUAUAUGAAAUGAAAGCCCUUUGAAUUAUCUUUCCAACGAUAUCAAUUUCACCCAAAUCCGAUAUCGGAGCAAAGAGUUAUGGUCGAUCUACUUUAGCUUGUCAAAAUAGUCCACCAUGGACAGAUUCAGAUUUACUUAAAAUUUUAAGGGCAAUAUGGUCAUUUUCCAUCACCUCAUGAACGAAAAUUGGUCAUUAUAUACAUAUACUUAGCCUCAUAUCCAUUAUUUAUCAUCCAUUAUUGAAGACUAAGAAACCCUAGCCAAAUUUCAACUCCAAUUAUCUUGUGAUUCAACCGUAGAAAAUCCAAAUUGAUUCCGUAGUUGUGUUCACCGUCUCGAGGGCUUCGAGAAGCACCCCUUAUUUGUGCCAACAGGACUUCGAAAUCAAAAGGGCCAUUUUAUGGUAAGGAUGUAAAUUAUGUUGGUGUUAUUUAUAUGGAUAUGUAUAUAUAUAUAUAUGCAUGUGAGCAUAAGAAGUAUGUUAUUUGAUUGUUGUUGAAAGAUGAUUGGAAAUGAUGUUGGAUUAUUCUUGUGCAUAGUUGGAUUAUGUUGAAUUGUGAAGGGAUUUGGUGUGAUGAUGUGGUAUUGAAAUGAUGAUUAUAUAUAUAUACACACACAUAAACCUAUUGUUCAAGUUGAUUUUUGGAAUGUUUUGCAAAUAUUGGUAGUAUGGAAUUAUGGAAGAGAAUUGUGGUGUUGGGUUGCUAAUACUAGAUGCCAAACAUUUCAUUGUAGAUAAGUGAUUUGUAAAGGCGGGAAGUUGUGUUGAAUUGGUAUCCGAAUCUACAACGAGGUAUGUAAAGCAUACUCUAACAAUGUUCUUUGGCAUGAAAACACCAAUGUUCCAUCAAGUAAGAUUCCGAGGUUGUCCAAAAACAUGUAUUGUUCUACGUUACCAACGAAGUUGUUUCCAUCCUAUAAAGUGUCAAAAUGUUUCAUUGAUAUACCAAAAGGCUCCUAUUUCAUUGUUGUGAUAUUGAUGAUUCUGAAACACAUUGUUGAUGUACCAAUGAGUCUUUAUUACAUCGUUAUUGUAUAGAAGGUCUAUUACUUGGUUCCUAUUGAUGUAUCAUUGUUUCAAAGUAUCAAAAAUGUGGUGGCGACCGAAAUAACAAUCUCAAAGAUUAAUUGAACUAAGUGAUGGAAGUUCUCUCUUAUCGGGUGGUAUCCCAGGGGCAUAAGCCUAGCAUGGGUCGAUCCCUAUUUAUGUGUUUAUGGGUGGUAUCCCAGGGGCAUAAGCCUAGCAUGGGUCGAUCCCAGUUGAUAUGUACUGGAGGCAGCCUAAUGGUCACAGUACAGUACAGUAAUGAUUACAAAGACGAUAAGAACGAAGGUAAAGUGAUUGAAUAAAUACAAUGUACAGGUUGUCACAAGUUCUAGUAAGUGUGGUCCACUCCUAUUACGACUUAUUCACUUGUUUCUGAUUUCUAUUGAGCUCCUAUAUCAUAUGUGAUUAUUUACAGCUUUACAUACUCAGUACAUAUUUCGUACUGACGUCCCUCACGGGGGACCUGCAUUUCAUGCUGCAGGCACAGGUACCUCAGCUCAUACAC